UUAGGUGGUUAUUGCGGCGGGGUUCCACCUCUUCCCAUUCCGAACAGAGAAGUUAAGCCCGUUUGCGCCGAUGGUACUGCAAUGCAAUGCGGGAGAGUAGGUGGCCGCCUUCU
rnacentral:rRNA from 1 species